UUAUCCGUCGUUAUCCGCUGUUAUCCCUUCCCUGUUAUCCGCUUCGCAGCGCCAGCGGCAGUCGCGGCCCCGGAGGCAUCGCCGCUGGUGGCUGCAGCAUUCCCGGCUCCGAGAAGGAGCCAGGCUGGCUCUCCUGCUCCCAGCUAUUUCCGAGAGCACAGCUGGACUGAUCCCCGCGGGACAUCGAGCCCCUUCCCUGCCCCGGCCCUCCUGCUUGGCCCAGUGCCACCCCCACACCACUUGUUUCCCAGAGGGAGGGCAACAGAUGGGUGAUUUCAGGGGAGCCAGGCACGGAGCUGCAUCCAGCAGGAGACAGAUGAGCCACAGGUGCCCAGCACCCAUGGUCACUGGAUGGGGCGAGCUGGUGCAGGCUGCCCUGGCACCCCUGACACGGUGACAGCGAGGGCUGAGCCCAACCUGAGCUUG